rnacentral:rRNA from 1 species
UGUGAGGGUUGCUGGAGGUAUCAGAAGUGCGAAUGCUGACAUAAGUAACGAUAAAGCGGGUGAAAAGCCCGCUCGCCGGAAGACCAAGGGUUCCUGUCCAACGUUAAUCGGGGCAGGGUGAGUCGACCCCUAAGGCGAGGCCGAAAGGCGUAGUCGAUGGGAAACGGGUUAAUAUUCCCGUACUUGGUGUUACUGCGAAGGGGGGACGGAGAAGGCUAUGUUGGCCGGGCGACGGUUGUCCCGGUUUAAGCGUGUAGGUGUGUGUUCCAGGUAAAUCCGGUUCACUUUAACACUGAGGCGUGACGACGAGGCACUACGGUGCUGAAGCAACAAAUGCCCUGCUUCCAGGAAAAGCCUCUAAGCAUCAGGUAACAUCAAAUCGUACCCCAAACCGACACAGGUGGUCAGGUAGAGAAUACCAAGGCGCUUGAGAGAACUCGGGUGAAGGAACUAGGCAAAAUGGUGCCGUAACUUCGGGAGAAGGCACGCUGACACGUAGGUGAAGUGAUUUACUCAUGGAGCUGAAGUCAGUCGAAGAUACCAGCUGGCUGCAACUGUUUAUUAAAAACACAGCACUGUGCAAACACGAAAGUGGACGUAUACGGUGUGACGCCUGCCCGGUGCCGGAAGGUUAAUUGAUGGGGUCAGCGCAAGCGAAGCUCCUGAUCGAAGCCCCGGUAAACGGCGGCCGUAACUAUAACGGUCCUAAGGUAGCGAAAUUCCUUGUCGGGUAAGUUCCGACCUGCACGAAUGGCGUAAUGAUGGCCAGGCUGUCUCCACCCGAGACUCAGUGAAAUUGAACUCGCUGUGAAGAUGCAGUGUACCCGCGGCAAGACGGAAAGACCCCGUGAACCUUUACUAUAGCUUGACACUGAACAUUGAGCCUUGAUGUGUAGGAUAGGUGGGAGGC